ensembl:lncRNA
UUUUAUUUUAUAUUUUGCUUAAUGAUUGCCACCUGAGGUAGCCUCUGUGGCCCAUCUUCGUCAGUUUCAGAGUGUGGAUUUCUCCGUGCUGCUUUUUCCCCAGGUCUCCACGCCCUUGUGUUUUCCUUUUGCUUAAAGAUUGCCACCUGAGCUAGCCUCUGUUGCGCUUCUUUCUCAGUUUCAGAGGGUGGAUUUCUCCGUGUUGCUUUUUCCCCAGGUCUCCACGCACUUCCUUUUAUUUUUCCUUAAAAAUUGCCACCUGAGCUAGCCCGUGUUGCCCAUGGUCGUCAGUUUCAGAGGGUGGAUUUCUCCGUGCUGCUUUUUACCCGGGUCUCCACGCCCUUGUGUGUUUCUUUUGCUUAACGAUUGCCACCUGAGCUAGCCUCUGUGGCCCAUCUUCGUCAGUUUCAGAGGGUGGAUUUCUCAGUGUUGCUUUUUCGCAAGCUCUCCACGCCCUGGUGUCUUUUUUUUUUCUGCUUAAAGGUUGCAACCUGAGCUAGCCUCUGUUGCCCAUGGUCGUCAGUUUCAGAGGGUAGAUUUCUCAGUGCUGCUUUUUGCCCAGGUCUCCACGCCCCUGUGUGUUUCUUUUGCUUAACGAUUGCCACCUGAGCUAGCCUCUGUUGCCCAUGUUCGUCAGUUUCAGAGGGUGGAUUUCUCCGUGCUGCUUUUUACCCGGGUCUCCACGCCCUUGUGUGUUUCUUUUGCUUAACGAUUGCCACCUGAGCUAGCCUCUGUUGCCCAUCUUUGUCAGUUUCAGAGGGUAGAUUUCUCAGUCUUGCUCUUUCCCAAGUUCUGCACGCCCUUGUGUGUGUGUGUUUUUUUUUUUUGCUCAAAUAUUGAACCUAAGCUAGCAUCUGUUGCCCAUCUUCGUCAGUUUGAGAGGGUAGAUUUCUCAGUGUUGCUUUUUCGCCAGCUCUCCACGCCCUUGUGUCUUUUUUUCUGCUUAAAGGUUGCAACCUGAGCUAGCGUCUGUUGCCCAUGUUCCUCAGUUUCAGAGGGUACAUUUCUCCGUGCUGCUUUUUACCCGGGUCUCCACGCCCUUGUGUGUUUCUUUUGCUUAACGAUUGCCACCUGAGCUAGCCUCUGUGGCCCAUUUUCGUCAGCUCCAGAGGGUGGAUUUCUCAGUGUUGCUUUUUCGCCAGCUCUCCACGCCCUUGUGUCUUUCUUUUCUGCUUAAAGGUUGCAACCUGAGCUAGCGUCUGUUGCCCAUGUUCCUCAGUUUCAGGGGGUGGAUUUCUCCGUGCUGCUUUUUACCCGGGUCUCCACGCCCUUGUGUGUUUCUUUUGCUUAACGAUUGCCACCUGAGGUAGCCUCUGUUGCCCAUCUUCGUCAGUUUCAGAGGGUGGAUUUCUCAGUGUUGCUUUUUCCCCAGGUCUCCACGCCCUUGUGUGUUUCUUUUGCUUAACGAUUGCCACCUGAGCUAGCCUCUGUGGCCCAUUUUCGUCAGCUCCAGAGGGUGGAUUUCUCAGUGUUGCUUUUUCCCCAGGUCUCCACGUCCCUCAGUGUGUGUGUGUGUGUGUGUGAGUGUGUGUGUUUUCUUUGCAAGAUUGGCACUUGAGCUAACGUGUGUUGCCCAUCUUUGUCAGUUUCAGAGGCUAGAUUUUUCAGUAUCGCUCUUUCCCAAGGUCUCCACUCCCUUGCUCUUUUCUUUGUUUCUUUGUUUCUUUCUUCCUUUCUUUUUGGCUUAAAUAUUGUCACCUGAGCUAGGCUCUGUUGCCCUGCUUCCUCCGUUUCAGAGGGUACCUUUUUUCAGGGUUGCUUUUUCACCGGGUCUCCUCGCCAUUGUAGUUUUUUAUUUUAUUUAUUUAUUUUUUUUUGCUUAACGAUUGCCACCUGAGCUAGCCUGUGUUGCCCAUGUUCGUCAGUUUCAGAGGGUAGAUUUCUCAGCGUUGCUUUUUCCCCAGGUCUCUACGCGCUUGUGUGUGAUUGACAGAUUGAUAGCUCUUUCUCGAUUCCGUGGGUGGUGGUGCAUGGCCGUUCUUAGUUGGUGGAGCGAUUUGUCUGGUUAAUUCCGAUAACGAACGAGACUCUGGCAUGCUAACUAGUUACGCGACCCCCGAGCGGUCGGCGUCCCCCAACUUCUUAGAGGGACCUGCCACACCCAGCUGAACAACCUGCCGAGCACGCCGGAACCACCUGCUCGACUUGCCGGAACCACCUACCUGACAUGCCAAAAUCACCUGCUGGGUACGCCAGAACCACCUGGCGGACACUCCAGAAUCACCUGCCGUGCAUGCCGGAACCACCUCUCAGACGUGCCGGAAGCACGUGCCGGACACGCUGGAAACAACUACCGGACAGACCGAAACCACCUGCCGAGCAUGCCGGAACCACCUGCCGGACAGGCCAAAAUCAACAGCUGGCUAUGCGGGACCCACCUGGCGGACAGUCCGGAAUCACCUGCCGGGCAUGCAGGAACCACCACUCAGACGUAACAGAACCACGUGCCAGACACGCUAGAAGCACGUCCUGGACAGACUGGAACCACCUGCUGGACACGCCUGGACCACCUGCCGAGCACGCCGGAACCACCUGCUCGACUCGCAGGACCCACGUGCCGGACACGCCAAAAUGAACUGCCGGCUACACCAGAACCACUACCCGACACUCCGGCAUCACCUGUUGGGCAUGCGCAACCACCUCUGAGAUGUACCAGAACCACGAGCUGUGCACGCCGGAACCGCCUACCGGAAAGACGGGAAUCACCUUUCGGGCAGGCCGGAACCACCUGUCAGAUGUGCCAGAAACACGUGCCGGAGACGCCGGAAGCACCUGCCGAGCACGUCAAAACCACCUGCUCAACUCGCCUGAACCACGUGCCGGACACGCCGGAACCAACUCCAGGACAGACCGGAACAACCUGCCGGACGUGCCUGAACCAACUGUCGAGGACGCCGGAAACACAUGCUCGACUCGCUGCAACCACAUGCCGGACAUGGCAAAAUCACCUGACGGCUACGCCAGAACCACUUGGAGGACACUCCGGAACCACCUGCCGGGCAUGCCAGCACAACCUCUCAGAAGUGCCAGAAGCACGUGCCGGACAGGCCGGAACCAUCUCCCGGACAGACCGGAUCCACAGGAAACACUCCCCGGAACCACCUGCUUGACUCACCGGUCCCACCUGCAGGACAUGCCCAAAUUGCCUGCCAGCUACACCAGAACCACUUGGGGGACAAGCCGGAAUCACGUGAGGGGCAUGCCGGCACAGCCUCUCAAACGUGCCAGAACCUCGUGCCGGACACCCCAGAACCACCUGCCGGACAGACCGCAACCACCUGCCGGACACGCCAGAACCACCGGCUCGACCCGCCGGAACCACCGCCGGACAUGCAAAAUCACCUGCCAGCUAUGCCAGAACCACUUGGCGAACACUCCGGAAUCACCUGCCGGGCAUGCCGGAACCACCUCUCAGACAUGCCAGAACAAUAUGCCAGUGACCCCGGAAGCACCUGCCGAGCACACCGGAACCACCUGCUCGACUCGCCAGAACCACCUGCCGGACACGCAAAAGUCACCAGACGGCUACGCCCCAACCAGUUGGUGAACACUUCGGAAUCACCUGCCGGGCUUGCUGGAACCACCUGCCGGUCAUGCCAAAAUCACCUGCCAACUACGCCAGAACCGCUUGGCGGACACUGCGGAAACACCUGUCGGGCCGGCCGGAACCACAUCUCAGAUGUGCCAGAACCAUGUGCAUGAGAUGCCGGAUCCACACCCUGAACAGACGGGAACCACCUGGCAGACCCGCCUGAACCACCUGCCGAGCACGCCGGAACCACCUGAUCGACUCGCCGGAACCACCGACCUGACACACCAAAAUCACCUGCCGGGUAUGCCAGAACCACUUGGCGGACACUCCGGAAUCAUCUGCCGGACAUGCGGGAACCAGCUCUCAGACACACCAGAACCACGUGCCGGAGACGCCGCAAGCACCUGCCGAGCAUGCCGGAGCCACCUGCUCGACUCGCCAGAAACAACUGCCGGACACGCCAAAAUCACCUGCCUGCUAGGCCUGAACCACUUGUCGGACUCUCCGGGAUCACCUGGUGGGCAUGCCGGAACCAUGUCUCAGACGUGCCAGAACCAAGUGCCGGACACGCCAGAACCACCUGCCGACCAGGCUGGAACCACCAGCCGAACACGCCAAAAUCACCUGCCGGUAAUGCCAGAAUCACUUGGAGGACUCUCCGGGAUCACCGGCCGGGCAUGCCGGAACCAACUCUGAGACGUACCAGAAGCACGUGCCAGACACGCCGGAACCACAUCCUGGACAGACUGGAGCCACCGGCCGGACACGCACGAACAUCCUGCCGAGAAUGCCAGAAACACCUGCUCGGCUCCUGGGAAAAUCCUAUGGGGAAACUGUCAUACAAAUGAAGGUCAAACGGCCUUUCUUGCCAGGCCUUAGCUCGCCACUUUAGAACUUCUGCUUCUGCCACAAUUCCACCUUGCCAACCCGGCUCAGACGAAAUGCCUACAGAUUCCCCUUGAGCAAUUGGGACGAGGCCCGGAUGAUUGUGGUUCCACAUGCUGAGGAGGAGAGAGACAAUAGGCUUUUAACUAACCACCAAGUGCAAUGGUUGAGAGAGUGUCAGAAAGCACCAAUGGCAGAAAGACCCCUUUGCUCUCAGCCAUGCCCUCCAUUGCUCUAGAGCUGGAAGGCACAAAGGACUGCCUCAAUCCUUCAAUGCGAAACAAGCCAUAAACUGUCUUGCUUCCAGCUCUUUAGGAAGCUGAGAAAGAACUCGCUUUCCACAGUGCUGUUUAAGCAUAUGAGGAAACACUCAUACAAAUGCAGCUCAAACGCCAUUUCUUACCAGUGCUUAACUCGCCGCUUUAGGACUUCUGCUUCUGCCGCAAUUCCACCUUGCCAACCCGGUGAGACGAAAUGCCUACAUCUUCCCCUGAAGCAACUGGGCUGUGUCCAAAAUGAUUGAGCGUCCACGUGCUUAGGAGGUGAUAGACUGCACGCCUUUUUCCAACCUCCAUUGUGCACUGGUGGAGAGAGUGUUGGAAAGCAGCUGUGUCAGAAAGACCCCUUUGCUCUCAGCUCUGCCCUCCAUUGCUCUAGACGUGGAAUGCACAAUGCACUGGCUCUACCCCUCAAAGUUCCACAACCCACAGGCCAUCUUCCUUCCAUCUCUUUAGGAAGCUGAGAAAGAACUCGCUUUCACCAGUGCUCUUUCUGUGUCCUGGCAACAUCUCAUACAAAGGCUGCUGAUAUGCCGUUUCUUUUCAGCGCUUAACUCGCUGAUUUAGAACUUCUGCUUGCCAGAUUUACACCUUGCCAACCCGGCUCAGACAAAAUGCCUACAUCUUCCCCUUCAGCAACGGGAACGAGGCCCAGAUGAUUGUGCCUCCACAUGUUUAGCAAGAGGAGACAAUAGGCUUUUUACAAACUGCCAUUGUGCACUGGUGCAGAGGGUGUCACAAUGCACCUAUGUCAGAAAGGUCCCUUUCAUCUCAGACGUGCCCUCCAUUGCUCUAGAGGUGGAAGGCACAAAGCACUGCCUCCAUCCUUCAAUUGGAGAAAAGCAAUAAACUGUCCUCCUUCCAGCUCUUUAGGAAGCUGGGAAGGCACUCGCAUUUCACAGUGCUCUUACAGCAUCCUGGGAACAUCACAUACAAAGACAACUUAACGCCGUGUCAUUUCAGCCCUUAACUCACCAAUCUGCAACAUCCGCUUCUGCCACAUUUCCAUCUUGCCAACCCGGCUCAGACAAAAUGCCUACAUCUUCCCCUUGAGCAAUGGGGACGACGCCCGGAUGAUUGUGGUUCCACAUGCUGAGGAGGAGACAGACAAUGGGCUUUUAACCAACCGACCUUGAGCAGUGGUUUGGGGAGUGUCAGAAGGCACCAAUGUCGGAAAGGCCCUUUACUCUCGGCCGUGCCCUCCAUUCCUCUAGAGGUAGGAGGCACAAGGCACUGGCACCACCCCUGAAGGGGAUCAGAAAGCACCUAUGGCAGAAAGCCCCCUUGGCUCUCAGCUGUGCCCUCCAUUGCUCUGCAGGUGGAAGGCACAAAGCACUGCCUCCAUCCUUCAAUGGGAGACAAGCCAUAUAUUGUCUUGCCUCCAGCUCUUUAGGAAGCUGACGAACAACUCGCUUUCCACAGUCCCCUUACAGCAUACCAGGUACCUCUCAUACAAAGGCAGCUCAAACGCCAUUUCUUCCCAGUGCUUAACUCGCAGCUUUAGGACUUCUGCUUCUGCCGCCAUUCCACCUUGCCAAUCCGGCUCAGACGAAAUGCCUACAUCUUCCCCUGAAGCAACUGGGCUGAGUCCCAAAUGAUUGAGCGUCCACGUGCUUAGGAGGCGAUAGACUGCACGCCUUUUUCCAACCACCAAUGUGCACUGCUGGAGAGAUUUUCGUAAAGAAGCUAUGUCAGAAAGGCCCCUUUGCUCACAGCCGUGCCCUUCAUUGCUCUACAGGUGGAAGGCACAAGGCACUGGCUCUGGAUCCACCCCUCAAUAGGAGACAAACAACAUCUUGUCCUGCUUCCAGCUCUGUAGGAAGCUGAGAAAAAACUCCCUUUCCACAGUGCCCUUACAGCGUCCUGGGAACAUCUCAUACAAAGGAGGCUGAACACCGUUUCCUUCAUCACUUCACACCCCAGUCUGGGACUUCUGCAUCCUGCACAUUUCCACCUUGGCAACCUGGCUCAGACAAAAUGCCUACAUCUUCCCCUUCAGCAACGGGCACGAGGCCCAGAUGAUUCUGCUUCCACAUGCUUAGCAGGAGCAGACAAUAGGCUUUUUACAAACCGCCAUUGUGCACUGGUGCUGAGAGUGUCAGAGUGCACCUAUGUCAGAAAGGGCCCUUUGCUCUCAGCCAUGACCUCCAUUGCUCCAGAGGUGGAAGGCACAAAGCACUAUCUCCAUCCUUCAAUUGGAGACAAGCCAUCAACUGUCCUGCUUCCAGCUCUGUAGGAAGCUGAGAAAGAUCUCGCUUUCCACAGUGCUGUUACAGCAUACGAGGAAACUCUCAUACAAAGUCAGCUCAAACGCCAUUUCUUCCCAGCACUUAAUUUGCCGCUUUAGGACUUCUGCCACUGCUGCAAUUCUACCUUGCCAACCUUGCUCAGAUGAAAUGCCUACAUCUUCCCCUGAAGCAACUGGGCUGAGUCCCAAAUGAUUUAGCAUCCACCUGCUCAGGAGGCGAUAGACUGUAAACCUUUUUCCAACCACCAUUGUGCACUGGUGGAGAGAGUCUCAGAAUGCAGCUAUGUCAGAAAGACCCUUUUGCUCUCAACCAUGCCCUCCAUUGCUCUAGACGUGGAAUGCACAAUGCAUUGGCUCCACCCCUCAAGGGGCCACAAGCCACAGACCAUCUUUCUUCCAUCUCUUUAGGAAGCUGAGAACAAACUCACCUGACGUAUAAAAAGGAAUCAUGCCCUUUAUGUGCCAGAAAACCCCGGGAGACAUGCCAAAAACACUCUCUGCACACUCUCAAAAAGCCACACAUUCAUGCCUGUACGACCCAACAGGCAUACCAGAAGCACCCACGUUGCAUGCCAGAACCACCUGUAACCACCUGCUGGACACAGUGGAACAGCGAUUCUGACACUGCAGAACCAUCUCUUCAACAUGCCAGCCCCACACUAUGACUUGACGGAACCAGAUCCCAAACAUAGCACAACGACAUGCCAGACACAUUGUAAACACCUGUUGCAUAUGACACAAAUAGGUGCCAGAAACACUGAUACCAGCUCAGGAGUAUGAAAGAACGGGGGCCAGAAAUGCCACAAGCAUCUGUCUUAAAAGCCAGAGCCACGAGCCCAAAAAGCAGGAAAGACCUGCCGGACAUACCAAAAUAAACUGCCGGUGAUGCCAGAACCACUUGGCAGACACCGAGGAAUCACCUGCCAGGCACGCCCGAAGCACCUCACAGACGUGCCAGAACCAUGUGCCGGCCAUGCCGGAACCAGCUACCGGACAGACCAGAAGCACCUGUCGGACACGCCGGAACCACUUGCCGAGCACGCAGGAACCACCUGCUCGACACGCAGGACCCACCUGCUGGACACGCCAAAAUCACCUGCCGGCUCCACCAGAACCACUUGGUGGGCACUCUGGAAUCUCCUGCGGGCAUGCAGGAACCACCUCUCAAACUUGCCACAACCACAUUCCUGACACACCGGGACCACCCUCCAUAAACACCAAAAGAACAUGCCAAGGACGCCAAAAUAACCUGCACGACUCGCUGGAACCAUGUGCCGGACACGCCAUAAUCACCUGCUGGCUAUGCCAGAACAACAUGGCAGAGACUCCGAAAUCACCUGCCAGCCAUGCCGGAACCGCAUCUCAAACGUACCAGAACCACAUGACGGACACGAAGGAACCACCGGCUAGACAUGCCGGAACCACAGCUGGACAUGCAAAACCACCUGCCGGCUACGCCAGAACAACUUGGCGAACACUCCGGAAUCACAUGCCGGGCAUGCCGGAAGCACCUGCUCGACUCGCCAGAACCACCUACCUGACACGCCAAAAUCACCUGCUGGCUAUGCCAGAACCACUUGGCGAACAUGCCAAAAUCACCUGCCGGGCAUGCCGGAACCACCUCUCCGACAUGCCAGAACCACAUGCCAAUGACACUCGAAGGACCUGCUGAACAUGCCGGAACCACCUGCUCGACUCGCCAGAACCACCUGCCAAACAUGCCAAAAUCACCUGCAGGCUACGCCACAACCAGUUGGUGAACACUUCGGAAUCACCUGCCAGUCUGGCUGGAACCACCUGCCGGUCACGCCCACAUCACCUGUCAGCUACGCCAGAACCACUUGGCGAACUCUCCGGAAACACCUGUCGGUCCGGCCGGAACCACCUCUCUGACUUGCCAGAACCAUGUUGCGGACACGCCAGUACCACAUGCCCAGUAUGCUGUUACCACCUGAUCCACUCGCCAGAAAGACCUGCUGGAGACGCCAAAAUCACCUGUCGACUAUGCCAGAACCACUUGGCAGACACUCCGCAACCACCUCCAGGACAGGCCGGAACCACCUGCUGGACAGACCAAAAUCACUGAAAACAUUCGCAGUAACCACCUGCUUGACUCACCGGUCCCACCUGCAGGACACGCCAAAAUCACCUGCCCGCUACACCAGAACCACUUGGCGGACAAGCUGCAAUCACGUGAAGGGCACUCCGACACAACCUCUCAGACGUGCCAGAACCAUGUGCCGGACACGCCGGAACCACCUGCCGAGUAUGCCGGAACCACCUGAACCACUGCACAGAACCACCUGCCGUUCACACCAACAUCACCUGCCAGCUAUGCCAGAACCACUUUGCGGACACUCCGGAAACACCUGUCGGGCCGGCCGGAACCACCUCUCAUACGAGCCAGGACCAUGUGCGUGAGAUGCGGGAACCACACCCCGAACACACCGAAACCACCUGCCAGACCCGCCUGAACCACCUGCCAAGCACGCCGGAACGACCUCAUCGACUCGCCGGAACCACCUACCUGACACACCAAAAUCACCUGCCGGGUAUGCCAGAACCACUUGGUGGACACUCCGGAAACGUCUGCCGGACAUGCCAGAACCAGCUCUCAGACACACCAGAAUCACGUGCCGGACACGCUGGAAGCACCUGCUGCGCAUGCCGAGCCACCUGCUCGACUCACAAGAAACCCCUGCCGGACACGCCAAAAUCAUCUGCCAGGUACGCCAGAACCACUCGGCGGACACUCCGGAAUCACCUUUCGGGCAUGCCGGAACCACCUCUCAGAGGUGCCAGAACCACAUCCCGGACACUCUGGAAUCACCUGUCGGGCAUGCCAGCAAAACCUCUCAGAAGUGCCAGAAGCACGUGCCAGACAGGCCAGAACCAUCUCCCGGACAGACCGGAACCACGGGAAACACUCGCCGGAACCACCUGCUUGACUCACCGGUCCCACCUGCCGGACACGCCAAAAUCACCUGCCCGCUACACCAGAACCACUUGGUGGACAAGCUUGAAUCACGUGAAGCGCAUGCCGACACAACCUCUCAGACGUGCCAGAACCUCGUGCCGGACACCCCAGAACCAUCUGCCGGACAGACCGGAACCACCUGCCGGACACCCCAGAACCAGCGGCACAAGUCACCGGAACCACCGCGGGACAUGCAAAAUCACCUGCCAGCUACGCCAGAACCAUUUGGCGAACAGUCCCGAAUCACCUGCCAGGCAUGAAGGAACCACCUCUCAGACAUGCAAGAACCACAUGCCAAUGACACCGGAAGCACCUGCCAAGCACGCUGGAAACACCUGCUCGACACGCCACAGCCACCUGCUGGACACGCCAACAUCACCUGCCGGCUACGCCACAACCAUUUGGUGAACCCUUGGAAUCACCUGCUGGGCUUGCUGGAACAACCUGCCGGUGACGCCAACAUCACCUGGCAGCUACGACAGAACCACUUGGCGGACAUUCCGGAAACACCAGCCAGGCCAGCCGGAACCAUCUCUCCGACGUGUCAGAACCAUGUGCCUGAGAUGCCCGAACCACACCCCGAGCAGACCAAAACCACAUGCCAGACCGCCUGAACCACCUGCCAAGCACGCCGGAACCACCUACCUGACACGCCAAAAUCACCUGCCGGCUAUGCCAGAACCACUUGGCGAACACUCCGGAAUCACCUGCCGGGCAUGCCAGAACCACCUCUCAGACAUUCCAGAACCACAUGCCAAUGACACUGGAAGGACCUGCCGAGCACGCCGGAACCACCUGCUCGACUCGCCAGAAGCCCCUGCCGGACACGCCAAAAUCACCU